rnacentral:lncRNA from 1 species
AGAAAAUUAAGGCAGUUAAUAUGGCUUUGUUAAAUUUAUGUUUGAGUUAUAAUGUAGAGUUCAUUCAUUCGUAUAAAUAUUUUUUGAAAUGUGGAAAGCCAAAGGUGGAGUUAUUUGCCUAUAAAGAUGGUGGUUUACAUUUGAAUUGUGAAGGUACAAGGCAGUUAGGUUUAUAUUUUAAAAGACGGGUUGCUCAUUUGAUUUACAUGUGUUAACUUGUCAUUUGAGAUGAUUUUCUCAGGUGGAGUUAAAGGAUUAGUAAUGGUUGAAUUUUAUAUUUCUGCC